rnacentral:rRNA from 1 species
GAUGAACGCUAGCUACAGGCUUAACACAUGCAAGUCGAGGGGCAUCACAGUGUAGCAAUACACGGGUGGCGACCGGCGCACGGGUGCGUAACACGUAUCCAAUCUGCCCGUUACUCGGGGAUAGCCUUCUGAAAGGAAGAUUAAUACCCGAUGGCAUGUAUUUCCGGCAUCGGAGGUACAUUAAAGAUUUAUUGGUAACGGAUGAGGAUGCGUACGAUUAGCUAGUUGGCGGGGUAACGGCCCACCAAGGCUACGAUCGUUAGGGGUUCUGAGAGGAAGGUCCCCCACACUGGAACUGAGACACGGUCCAGACUCCUACGGGAGGCAGCAGUGAGGAAUAUUGGUCAAUGGGCGCGAGCCUGAACCAGCCAAGUAGCGUGAAGGAUGACUGCCCUACGGGUUGUAAACUUCUUUUGUUUGGGAAUAAAUGAUACUACGUGUAGUAUUUUGCAUGUACCUUACGAAUAAGCAUCGGCUAAUUCCGUGCCAGCCGCCGCAGUAACAC